rnacentral:rRNA from 1 species
UACGUAGGGUGCAAGCGUUGUCCGGAAUUAUUGGGCGUAAAGAGCUCGUAGGCGGUCAGUCGCGUCUGCUGUGAAAACUCGGGGCUUAACUCCGGGCCUGCAGUGGGUACGGGCUGACUAGAGUGCGGUAGGGGAGACUGGAAUUCCUGGUGUAGCGGUGGAAUGCGCAGAUAUCAGGAGGAACACCGAUGGCGAAGGCAGGUCUCUGGGCCAUUACUGACACUGAGAAGCGAAAGCAUGGGGAGCGAACAGG